AACUGAUACUACCUGCGGGAACCUGCGGAGGGAUCAUUAUCAAUUUACAGCGGACUUCGGUCCUGUCUGCACCCUUGUCUUUUGCGUACUAUAUGUUUCCUCGGUGGGCUUGCCUGCCGAUAGGACACUUAUAAACUCUUUUGUAAUUGCAAUCAGCGUCAGAAAACUAUAAUAGUUACAACUUUCAGCAAUGGAUCUCU
rnacentral:misc_RNA from 1 species